rnacentral:lncRNA from 1 species
AUAUUAUUCACUCUCAUUACCAUAUAUCUUCUUCAUUGCUAGCCUUCUAGCCCUCGCUAAUGAAGCGUCCCCAUCCUUUAGGACCCAAAUGUGAUACAAUUACUAGUUCUAGGAGCCUAGUAAUCACAUUUAUUUCAUCGGAUGGAAUAGUAAACAUUACAAUACCAAAGGGAAGCUCAGAGGAGCUAAGGAAAAGAGAAGUGAGAACCAGUCCCUAGCCACAUGUAGUCUGGGUGCAGAUCGAUGCAGCCCCUUCUAGUAGAAUAAAGCGGUAAUGAAGUCUUUAGCCACUGAAAAACAUGUAAAGAGAUGUGUGAAUACUUUCAUAUUCCGCAAGCCCAUUCUAGCUCGUAAACAGAGAAAGACCUGUAUUGUACAUGCUUGAUAUGGUGGAGUUGCAAGUCACUGUUUAUUUUUCUUAGAAAAGGCAAUAUUUUGGCAUUCCCCAGAAUGGAAGAGAGAAGAGCAUAACUUUGACUCAAUCACCACUGAGCUUCCAGCUCCCGUGGCAUAAUUUUUCUUUCCAAAACACACACACGUUUUCCUCUCCCCCUUUUUUUGAAAACAAGAUGCUAAUUGUCAUACCACACCAAAUUCGUCCAUAUCAGUGGACACGGACUAUUCGAAUAGAUUUUUACACCUUACCCACUAGUCUGGCUCUACGAUCUCAUGGCUAAUGAGACCCGAAUCUGAAACUCUCUCCUUCUUUGCAUGACAUUACCUUAACGGUUAUACCGAAAGGAACAAGGCCACCUCCUUGCCCAAACCAGGACAUAAUCAUUCUCCCUCCUUGUCCUUCCGGUGCUCCCCAGCCACCGAUAACCCUGGGGUGCAAACUGUGCAAGUUUAGAUCAAGUGACUAUCCUUACAGUGUCCAAUGGUUGUACUUGAUAUGAGUAUAUGUAGUAAAAGAUGACAAAUCGGUCCUUAUACAAGAUGGGACAAUCCUUCAUGCUCACACCUAACCCAGCUGAACCAACUCCUUUGGGGCCCUCCCAAACCAGGGAGUCCUGAUCAUCCGACUCAAAGGUGACAAGGGUGAUGACCCUUCAUCAUACCCAUUUUGAAAAACAUUUUCUUUUGAAAACACAACCCAUAUACCACAUUUCUCUUGAAACAAAAAUGUGUGUUUAAUGUAGGAUUAACCUCAUCUCACGUAUGCAUAAAAAUCAUCCCCAUGAUCCUAGCUUAGGUAGAGGUAGAAAGCGUAGGUAAUUUAUGCAUCAAGGGUAGAAUGAACUUGCCAUCAUCGAAGCUCUCGUGACAUGAAGGUUCUAUUUCUGUGAGGUCAGGCUCCUGCCCUUCUUCUGUAGCUAGGUUUUCCUGGACGCCGAUCACUGCUUCCUCUAGCAAAAACAUCCAAUAAACAAUACAUCAACCAAUGUCUUGGUAGGAAAAGGUGUGUCAUAAUAUUGUGAUUAUUAUUUUAUGUGCCCUAUAAUGUGCAUGCACUAUUAUUUGUGUAUUUUGCCAAAAUACAUAUAUAUAUAUACAUGUGUAUAAAGAGAAAAUAGGAAUUAGAAAACAAAAAGGGUUUCUUGGCUUGGUGGGCCUAGUGGGUGCAAUCUGGCCCAGCCAGACACGACGUGCGGGCAGGCGAGCGCGAGUGUGCGGCCCAGCCGGCCCACGGGGAGGGGACAGUACGGGCAACGGCGUGACGGGCCUAGGCCCACGCGUCAGAGGGAAGGGGGUGGGAUUGACGUCUGGUGACUAGGGACGGGGGUGAACUAGUUGGGGGAUGAACCGGCCACGGGCGAGGCUCACGACGAUUCUUCAUCGUGGCUCCGGUUCCUAGGCAUCGGUGGAGUGUGCUAGUUCGGGGAGGAGUGUGCGAUCAUGGGGGUAGGACCAAUUUGGUCGGUGGCGAACUUGGAAUGGUUAACCACGGCAGGGCGGAGAGUCACCUUGGCGGUGAUGCCACCGGCGAGGUGGCAGGGUGAUCGAGUUUGGGAGAGGUGCAUUUUUCUCGCAAGGAUGCAGUGAAGCUUGUGCGAUAAUUUGAUUUCUCUCUAGAUGGCUGGAGGGGAGGAUGGGGACCUCACCGAAGCUGAGGAGGGCAACGACGGCUGCUCUAAUUGGGGUCAGGGGAGGAGAGGAAGAGGGGCGGUGUGUGGUG